GGCAACGGUGGGCGCAAAGCCUUCCUUCUCUUCCCACGCCACUCACGCCCUCCUCAUCUCUCGCCUCCGCCACGGGCUUUCCUUCCCCAAGCACAUCUCUUCCUCUUGCCCAACCCUCGCUUCUCGCUCCGCCCCCAAACACCUCCCCCUCCGCCGCCCACCCCGCGCGACGGCCGCCCCCGCCGAGACCGCUCCCGCCACCUUCCACGGCCCCUGCUACGUCCUCGGCGACAACAUCGACACCGACCAGAUCAUCCCCGCGGAGUACCUCACCCUCGUCCCUUCCAAGCCUGACGAGUACGAGAAGCUCGGCUCCUACGCCCUCGUCGGC
rnacentral:lncRNA from 1 species